rnacentral:rRNA from 1 species
GACAGAGGAUGCAAGCGUUAUCCGGAAUGAUUGGGCGUAAAGCGUCUGUAGGUGGCUUUUUAAGUCCGCCGUCAAAUCCCAGGGCUCAACCCUGGACAGGCGGUGGAAACUACCAAGCUGGAGUACGGUAGGGGCAGAGGGAAUUUCCGGUGGAGCGGUGAAAUGCGUAGAUAUUCGCAAGAACACCAGUGGCGAAGGCGGCUAACUGGGCCAUUACUGACGCUGAGGCGCGAAAGCGUGGGGAGCAAACAGG